GCUGAUAUUACCAAAUCUUAAGAUCUACCCUUCUUUUUUUCUCCCGCCACCUAAAUAAUUACAGGGGGACAAAUUUUUAAUAGAACGAAUCGCAGACAUCAUGACAUGCUGGUAUACAUGUUGAGCAUGUUAGAAGCUUUAAUCAUGUUGGAUUUGGCAGCAUCAAGCAAUGGAUCUGCCUGGAUUGCCUUGUCGAAUGAGUCCUUUGCUUCGUUCCACUUUCCUUCAGCAACAUAUACAAGACCUAAAUUGUUUAAAGCAGGUGCAUAUCCAGGUUGCAGUUCAAGUGAUUUAUUGAACAUUGCCUUUGCACAUUCAUACUGUUUUAGCUGCCGAUAGAGAUUUCCAAGGUUUGAAAAUAUUGUGUGCGCUUGUUUUGGUGUAGCUAGUGACAAUGCUUGUUUAUACACCGAUUCAGCUUGAGAAGACUCCUCGGAUAGUUGCAGUGAAAUACCAAGAUUUGACCAGGCAUAGGUGCAGUCCUUACGGCGUGCAACUGCAGCUUUGAGGUACGUUUGAGACGUCUUAAAUUGUUGGGUACACAGACUAUGAAGGCCAAGCUGAUGCCAUUGAACAGCAUCAGCAGGAUCUUCGGCUAUUGCCUGCUUUAGACUAUAGAUAGCAUGCUCCUUGACUUCCACCAAUUCAUUAUGCUCAACUUCAAAUCCUGCCACAAUUUCAUGUUGGGCCCUGUGGACCAUGGCGAGACCAGCCCAUGCUACUGGAGGCUCUAUCGAAGUAGAAUCUCCUUCUCUUAGUAUUGAGGCCAUCUCAAUACCAGCCCAUGAGAGCUGCUCAUUGGGAUUCUGGGACCUCUCUGCAUCCCUGAUGCGGUGAACUCCAACCGCAUAUCUUGUCGCUAAACAAUUAGGAUCAAUUUUUCCUGCCUUUUCCAAGCAUUUUGCAGAGCUCCUAUGAUCACCCAUCAAGUAAUAAGCAUUAGCUAGAUUUGUCCAAAUGUGAGCCGCUUUCGAGUCUGCUUUUAAAGCUGCUAGUAAACACUCUUUGGCAACAUUGGCUGCAGUGACUUGAUCUGCAGAAGUUCCAUAAAGAGUAUUUGCCCCCGCACCUGAAACUGCCACUAGUGAACCAUAUUUAUAUAAGAUAAGGGCAGCAUAGUUGAUUAAUGCAGUGGGAUGAUUCUGAUCUUUUAUAAGUAGAUCUUGGAAGCACUUCUCAGAAAGCUCUAGAUUCCCACUCUGGAGACAAGCAAUUCCAAGAUUACUGAGGCAAUCUAAGUUGUCUGGGGAAAUGUCCAACAAAGUUGAGAAAACUGAUAUAGCACUCUGCAAACGACCAGAUCUAAGAAGUAUUAUGCCAAGAGCAUUCCAAAUGGAUGCCUGCCUAACAUCAGAUUUCACAACCUCCUUAAGUUUAGCAAGAAUAUUUUCAAGCUCUUCAGGGUCUAAUUCCUCAUCUGAACUACAAUCUUCCAAGGUUCCAAGCAGAAUACACUGUGCAUGAUGAACCUGGACUAAAGAAAGCAACUCAGGCCUGUCUAUUGCUUCCU
rnacentral:misc_RNA from 1 species